rnacentral:rRNA from 1 species
AUUGAACGCUGGCGGUAGGCCUAACACAUGCAAGUCGAACGGCAGCACAGUAAGAGCUUGCUCUUAUGGGUGGCGAGUGGCGGACGGGUGAGGAAUACAUCGGAAUCUACCUUUUCGUGGGGGAUAACGUAGGGAAACUUACGCUAAUACCGCAUACGACCUUCGGGUGAAAGCAGGGGACCUUCGGGCCUUGCGCGGAUAGAUGAGCCGAGGUCGGAUUAGCUAGUUGGCGGGGUAAAGGCCCACCAAGGCGACGAGCCGUAGCUGGUCUGAAAGGAUGAUCAGCCACACUGGAACUGAGACACGGUCCAGACUCCUACGGGAGGCAGCAGUGGGGAAUAUUGGACAAUGGGCGCAAGCCUGAUCCAGCCAUACCGCGUGGGUGAAGAAGGCCGUCGGGUUGUAAAGCCCUUUUGUUGGGAAAGAAAAGCAGUCGAUUAAUACUCGGUUGUUCUGACGGUACCCAAAGAAUAAGCACCGGCUAACUUCGUGCCAGCAGCCGCUGUAAUAC